rnacentral:rRNA from 1 species
GAUGAACGCUGGCGGCGUGCCUAAUACAUGCAAGUCGAGCGAACAGACGAGGAGCUUGCUCCUCUGACGUUAGCGGCGGACGGGUGAGUAACACGUGGAUAACCUACCUAUAAGACUGGGAUAACUUCGGGAAACCGGAGCUAAUACCGGAUAAUAUAUUGAACCGCAUGGUUCAAUAGUGAAAGACGGUUUUGCUGUCACUUAUAGAUGGAUCCGCGCCGCAUUAGCUAGUUGGUAAGGUAACGGCUUACCAAGGCGACGAUGCGUAGCCGACCUGAGAGGGUGAUCGGCCACACUGGAACUGAGACACGGUCCAGACUCCUACGGGAGGUAGCAGUAGGGAAUCUUCCGCAAUGGGCGAAAGCCUGACGGAGCAACGCCGCGUGAGUGAUGAAGGUCUUCGGAUCGUAAAACUCUGUUAUUAGGGAAGAACAAAUGUGUAAGUAACUAUGCACGUCUUGACGGUACCUAAUCAGAAAGCCACGGCUAACUACGUG